AGAGUUUGAUCCUGGCUCAGGAUGAAGAAAGGGGGGGCGGGGUAGGGGUGCAAGUCGAGGGGUAUUAGGGCUUUAGCAAAAAAAAAAGACCGGCGCACGGGUGCGUAACGCGUAUGCAAUCUACCUUUUACAGGGGAAUAGCCCACAGAAUUCUUUCAAUAAAGACCCAUGGUAUAUUUGAGUCGCAUGGUUUAUAUAUUAAAGUCACAACCGUAAAACAUGAUUAUGCGUCCCAUUAUGUAGUUGGUACGGUAACGGCUUACCAAGACGAUGAUGGGUAGGGGUCCUGACAGGGAGAUCCCCCACACGGGUACUGACACACGGACCACACUCCUACGGGAGGCAGCAGUGAGGAAUAUUGGUCAAUGGGCGCAAGCCUGAACCAGCCAUGCCGCGUGCUGGAUGACGGUCCUAUGGAUUGUAAAUUGCUUUUUGCGGGAAGAAAACCGGUUCGUGAACCGGCUUGACGGUACCGUAGGAAUAAGGAUCAUUCCUAACUCCGGUGCACAAGCAGCCAGCAGUAUAUACUGCAUGAUCUCCCACCGCCGUUAAUCCGGAAUAUCAUAUUGAGCUUCUAAAAGGUCCCCGUAGAGGGCGACCCCGGUAAGUUUCAGAGGUGAAAAUUUCUCCCCGCUUCAAAGCGGGGAAAACGCGGCCCCAUUGAAUACCUGCCGGGGCUUGAAUUUUACCCAGGGAAAGUAUACCUAGAAUUGGACUGUCAGUCGUAGGCGGGUGAAAUGCUUAGAAGGAUUACAUUGGAAAUACCCGGAUUGCGAAAGGCCAGGUUUACUACCUGGGUAUAUUGAACGCUGAUGGACGAAAGCCGUCGGGUAGCGAACAGGAUUUAGAUACCCUGGUAGUCCCACGCCGUAAACGAUGGAUACUAGCUGUUGGGCGCAAGGUUCAGUGGCUAAGCGAAAAGUGAUAAAGUAUCCCCCCCUGGGGAGUACGGAACGCAAGUUUGAAAUUCAAAGGGAAUUGACGGGGGGCCCGCACAAGCGGUGGAGCAUGUGGUCUAAUUUCGAUGAUACGCGAGGAACCUUCCAAGGCUUAAAAUGUAGAUUGACAGGUUGGGAAACAGACUUUCCUUCGGGCAAUUUACAAGGUGCUGCAUGGUUGUGGUCAGCUCGUCCCGUGAGGUGUCAGGUUAAGUCCUAUAACGAGCGCAACCCCUGUUGUUAGUUGCCAGCGAGUCAAGUCGGGAACUCUAACAAGACUGCCAGUGCAAACUGUGAGGAAGGUGGGGAUGACGUCAAAUCAUCACGGCCCUUACGCCUUGGGCUACACACGUGCUACAAUGGACGGUACAGAGAGCAGCCACUGGGUGACCAGGAGCGAAUCUACAAAACCGUUCUCAGUUCGGAUCGGAGUCUGCAACUCGACUCCGUGAAGCUGGAAUCGCUAGUAAUCGGAUAUCAGCCAUGAUCCGGUGAAUACGUUCCCGGGCCUUGUACACACCGCCCGUCAAGCCAUGGAAGCUGGGUUUUCUAUGAAGUCGGUGACCGCAAGGAGCUGCCCUAGGGUAACC
rnacentral:rRNA from 1 species